CAACGCUGCUAGGUUUAUAAUGCGCGAGACGAGCAGUUGCCUAGGUUAUAGCGGUAGUAUAUCCGACAAGGCAUCACCAAUAGGCGAUUGUUUGUAUUAAUGGGCGUACAAUUACCAGGAUGAAAAUAAGACUGGUGUUGAAGAAAUGUCGAUGAGGCCACGUAUUUAGUCUAUUCAACGUGAUGUCAGAGUGUCCUGUAGGCUACAUUUCGCAUUUGCCCUUGCAUCAACAAAGAACAUUAUAUCGUGACGCUUAUCCUGGAAUUGUAAAUGGAUGAGACUGCGACAGCGGGGGAGGCCGGGGGAGGCAUGCCCACAUCGGGGGCGGGUAGAUCGGACCAGAUGGAUACGGCCGGCCUAUCUCUCAAGCUGGAUUCUGGAGACAUGGAAGACGCUGGUCCUAGGAGGUCUACAAUAACUAGCGAGAUGCCGUCCCCCCCAGCUAGGGUCUAGGCCCAGGUCAGGAGAA